UUAGUGCGCCUCUACGUUGCUUAAGGAACCUCUGUACAAAAUUUGAAGUCCCUAUACCCAGCGGUUUGGUCAGGGCGUUGAUGAGUGAAUCGGGGCGGUCUCCUAUAUGUAUAUAGAUAAACAAUUAAUAGAUGCGCACAUAUUGUUACUAUGUUAUUGUUUUAUUACGUAAUAUUUUAAUACGCUGGCUUAAAUGCAUAUUGACGAUUUUCACAAAAUAAUACAUAUUGUUUACUUAUAACUAAGUAACUAAAUAAUAUAAAGAAUUCAUAAUUUAUACUUGGGUUUCACAUUUGACGUGAUAUUCAUAAAAUAUAACUUUGAUUAAUAAUAUUUAAUUCGAGUCUACUUUUUAUUGAUUAUUAAAAGUUUGUGGCAUUUAUCAAUCCUAUUCUAAUAGUAAGCAACAUACAUAGGACAAUUGUUUAAAUUGUGCUAUUUCAAUUGGGAUUGACUCAUCCAAGAUGCAUUUUUGGAAUUCCUUGUUGAGUCCGGAAGUUAUAGUGUAAUGAAUAUGCUGAAAUAUAUUUAAAAUUAAAAAAAUAUUAAAUACAGCUUAAGUAUAUACAAUUUUAUUUUAUCCAACGAAACAAGUGAC